GGGGGUAUAGCUCAGUGGCAGAGCACGUGCUUAGCAUGCAUAAGGUCCUGGGUUCAAUCCCCAAUACCUCUA
rnacentral:tRNA from 1 species